UACGUAGGGGGCUAGCGUUGCUCGGAAUCACUGGGCGUAAAGCGCACGUAGGCGGCUUUCUAAGUCAGGGGUGAAAUCCUGGAGCUCAACUCCAGAACUGCCUUUGAUACUGGAGAGCUUGAGUCCGGGAGAGGUGAGUGGAACUCCGAGUGUAGAGGUGAAAUUCGUAGAUAUUCGGAAGAACACCAGUGGCGAAGGCGGCUCACUGGCCCGGUACUGACGCUGAUGUGCGAAAGCGUGGGGAGCAAACAGGG
rnacentral:rRNA from 1 species